ACGAGGAAGAGAUGGUCACUUGCAUCUCCCACAGGAAGUACAACCACUUUACUACUGAAGGAAGAUUUCUCUGCCCGCCCAGCAACAGCCCAGCCAAUCAGACAAUGCCGCA